CUUCGACGAGUCGAGUUGUUUGGGAAUGCAGCUCAAAAUGGGUGGUAAAUUUCAUCUAAAGCUAAAUAUUGGCCAGAGACCGAUAGCGCACAAGUAGAGUGAUCGAAAGAUGAAAAGCACUUUGGAAAGAGAGUCAAACAGCACGUGAAAUUGUUGAAAGGGAAGCGCUUGCGACCAGACCUGCUCGCGGGUGAUCAGCGGUGCUUUUCGCGCCGUGCACUCAUCCGCGAUCAGGCCAGCAUCGGUUCAGGCGGCCGGACAAAGACUUGGAGAAUGUAGCUCCCUCCGGGGAGUGUUAUAUCUCCUUGUGCAAUACGGCCAGCCGGGACCGAGGACCGCGCUUCGGCUAGGAUGCUGGCGUAAUGGUCGUAAGCGACCCGUCUUGAAACACGGACCAAGGAGUCUAACAUCUGUGCGAGUGUUUGGGCGUUAAACCCAUGCGCGCAAUGAAAGUGAACGUGAGGUGGGAACCCUCUCGGGGGCGCACCAUCGACCGAUCCAGAUGUCUUCGGAUGGAUUUGAGUAAGAGCACAGCUGUUGGGACCCGAAAGAUGGUGAACUAUGCCUGAAUAGGGUGAAGCCAGAGGAAACUCUGGUGGAGGCUCGCAGCGGUUCUGACGUGCAAAUCGAUCGUCAAAUUUGGGUAUAGGGGCGAAAGACUAAUCGA
rnacentral:rRNA from 1 species